AUGUGGGCGGCUGUGCGGAGCCCAAGAAGCGGGGGAUAACUAACUCUCCCCGGGUGGAGUGAAGUGCCCGCCGCGAAGCAAGGCAAGCGGCGCUCUGUACAGCCUCUUUUCCGGAGCUCGGGAGCGGCCACUGCAGCAAAGCCGAGUACACCGGAGGAAAAACAGCACCUCCUUGGCUUCGCAGCAAUCUCUCCCCAGCCUCGUUUGUGCUCGGAUCUAUUUCAGCCGCGCUAGGCAGCAGAGGCCCCUUUGUCUCCUAACUGGUCUCCGAAAGGGCGGAUUCUGCAGAGGUCCACUGAUCUCCCUCUGCCUCUGAGUGGGGCUACAGGGUUGGGCAGUAGUCCCCACCGCGUCUGCCUAAGAACAUCCUGACUGAAAAAGUUCUGGGCACUGGGGCGGUCACCCAGAAGACCCCACCCUGUUUCUCCCGUGUGUAGCACAAUCGGUGGCAAUUCCCAUGUGGCUGAGUGGAGAACGGAUUCAUUCAGGUCAUAGGCCUGCUUUUUUGUUUCCCAAGGAGAUUCCCAAUAUUUUUCUCCCUGUGGGUCCCACACACAGCUUGAUCUUCGAUCUUUCCUCUAAGCUGGCCCUCUCCAACCUCUGGGAAAGUUCGAGGAUGACCUUCCCCAACGCCCAUCCAAUUCUAGUCACCUCCUAGGGAAGAGAAGGCUAUCUUGGGCCUGAGGUUUCAGGGGCAGAGUCCAGGGUCAGUCUCUACCACAGAAAACCUGCAGAUGGCGCUCCUGGGUUUACUUUGGCCUCAACCCCACGAACACGCACCGGCUUUCGGGGAAAAGGGAAGCAAUAAAGAAGACAGAGUUUAGGGGAACACUGGAAGACACUCUACCCCUUCCACCCUAAGGUGGGAACUGGCGGUUAGAGGGAAGUAGGAAUAUGAAUGACUAUUUAACUUAGAGGGAGAAAGUUGGCAACAAUCCCCUCAUCUCUUCUUGGGACCCUCUCCAGUCAUUCUGGACCUCUUUGCCAUCAAGCUACUGGCUUACAGUUAAAGAGGAGUGUUUAGGGCUGUGUGUGCCAGUGUGGGCAAGCCCAACUUUAAGUCUAAAGUUCCCUCACAUUUCUUUAGUUCUUAUCCAGAAACUGAAGUUCUUGAAAGGUGUGUGAAGAACAUGGGGACCCUCCCCAGAACCACAUGCACGUUUAUUUCCAGGCAGCCAAAUAAACAAACACAUCCAUGUGUAACCACAUAUUGAUGUAAUGAUAUAUAUAUGUAUAUAUAAUGCAAUUUGCACAUAAAAAGACAUAGUCACACACAACACAUGUGUUGAAGGCUAAAAAUACUAACAAACAUGCUCUGGAUUUGGUAGGAACUCAUUAAAAUACCAAGAGAGAAGCAGGCAGACAGACAUACUUGCUGCUCCAGAGCCCUUUCCCUCCUUCAACUACCCUUUGCAAACCCUCUUUGUACACCCUCUUCAACUUUGUUCAAAAAGCUGGUUUCUUUCCCCAUAGGCUCUGUUCUGUUCUCAGGCAGCCUUGAAAAGACCACUGAAAAAGCUUCAGAAAAAUUAAUCUAGGAUAAAUGUGCUUUUCCUCACUUAACCCAGAAUUCUAUGGUGAAGGGCCCUACUUGAAAAGUUUCUUUUUAGCUCUCCUCUUUUUUUCCUUCUUCUUUCCCCCUUUCUCCUGGUUAAGAUGAAUAAGGUGUAACCAAAAAAAGCUAAAAGGAGGGAGAGGAAAAAAAGAAAAGAGAAAGAAAGAAAGAAAGAAAGAAAGAAAGAAAGAAAGAAAGAAAGAAAGAAAGAAAGAAAGAAAAAGAAAGAAAGAAAGAAAAAGGAAAAGGAAAAACAACCCAACCCCGAACACCACCAGGGCUCCGACCUGUCAGGGUUGGUUGCUUUUCCCCUCCGCCUCUAAAUGAACCUUUUCUCUCUGGUGUUUUCAAAGCGGCCCCUCCACCCCCCAACCUAGGGGCAUUUACACUUCAAACAAGGCGCCCGCCUCCCUGCGGAAAUUUAAAGGAAAAUAAACUUUUGGGGAGUUGCUCUGAUACCGAUCUCGGGAUUUGCUUCAUUAGCCGCCUCUCUGCAUCUGAUCUGUCCAAUAAAUCUUCCUUGUGGAUCUCA